rnacentral:rRNA from 1 species
UAGGGAAUCUUCGGCAAUGGACGAAAGUCUGACCGAGCAACGCCGCGUGAGUGAAGAAGGUUUUCGGAUCGUAAAACUCUGUUGUUAGAGAAGAACAAGGGUGAGAGUAACUGUUCAUCCCUUGACGGUAUCUAACCAGAAAGCCACGGCUAACUACGUGCCAG